rnacentral:rRNA from 1 species
AUUGAACGCUGGCGGCAGGCCUAACACAUGCAAGUCGAGCGGAUCGCCAGUCGGGUGCGUAAUGCCUAGGAAUCUGCAUGUUCGUGGGGGAUAACGUCCGGUACCGGGAGCUAUUACUGCUUACUAUCAGCAGAGCAUGGGUCGGAUUAGCUAGUUGGUGGGGUAAAGGCAUACCAAGGCGACGACCCGUAGCUGGUCUGAGAGGAUGAUCAGUCACACUGGAACUGAGACACGGUCCAGACUCCUACGGGAGGCAGCAGUGGGGAAUAUUGGACAAUGGGCGAAAGCCUGAUGCAGCCAUGCCGCGUGUAUGAAGAAGGUCUUCGGGUUGUAAAGCACUUUAAGUGGGGAGGCGUUACCAGCAGAAUAAGCACCGGCUAACUUCGUGCCAGCAGCCGCGGUAAUUC